UUUAUUUGAUUUCCUUCGGGACUGAUUAUUUGUGACUGAGUGGCGGACGGGUGAGUAACGCGUGGGUAACCUGCCUUGUACAGGGGGAUAACAGUUGGAAACGGCUGCUAAUACCGCAUAAGCCCACGACCCGGCAUCGGGUAGAGGGAAAAAGGAGCAAAUCCGCUUUGAGAUGGCCUCGCGUCCGAUUAGCUAGUUGGUGAGGUAAUGGCCCACCAAGGCGACGAUCAGUAGCCGACCUGAGAGGGUGAUCCGGCCACAUUGGAACUGAGACACGGUCCAAACUUCC
rnacentral:rRNA from 1 species